rnacentral:rRNA from 1 species
UUCCUACGGGGGGCAGCAGUGAGGAAUAUUGGUCAAUGGGAGAGAUCCUGAACCAGCCAAGCCGCGUGAGGGAAGACGGCCCUAUGGGUUGUAAACCUCUUUUGUUGGAGAACAAAACACGGGACGAGUCCCGGACUGCGUGUAUCCGAAGAAAAAGCAUCGGCUAACUCCGUGCCAGCAGCCGCGGUAAUACGGAGGAUGCGAGCGUUAUCCGGAUUUAUUGGGUUUAAAGGGUGCGUAGGCGGUCCGUUAAGUCAGCGGUAAAAUUGAGGGGAUCAACACCUUCGAGCCGUUUAAACUG